ACUCCUACGGGAGGCAGCAGUAGGGAAUCUUCCACAAUGGGCGCAAGCCUGAUGGAGCAACACCGCGUGAGUGAAGAAGGGUUUCGGCUCGUAAAGCUCUGUUGUUAAAGAAGAACACGUAUGAGAGUAACUGUUCAUACGUUGACGGUAUUUAACCAGAAAGUCACGGCUAACUACGUGCCAGCAGCCGCGGUAAUACGUAGGUGGCAAGCGUUAUCCGGAUUUAUUGGGCGUAAAGAGAGUGCAGGCGGUUUUCUAAGUCUGAUGUGAAAGCCUUCGGCUUAACCGGAGAAAGUGCAUCGGAAACUGGAUAACUUGAGUGCAGAAGAGGGUAGUGGAACUCCAUGUGUAGCGGUGGAAUGCGUAGAUAUAUGGAAGAACACCAGUGGCGAAGGCGGCUACCUGGUCUGCAACUGACGCUGAGACUCGAAAGCAUGGGUAGCGAACAGGAUUAGAUACCCUGGUAGGAUAGCG
rnacentral:rRNA from 1 species